CAACUAGAAUAAUAAAGAAUAAAGAGAAACAGGAAUUCAAUAGUGUGAAUGCCUUUGAGGCUUUACAGCAUCCACACAAUAAAACUGAUUUGAUUUGAAACUCAACAUUAGUGAAGCAGUGUGGCAUCAUCUUGAUAGAGAAUGGAACAAAAGGAAGCCAACAUCCAAAGAACUUUGGAAUAUCUUUCAAAAACCCUGAAAGAAUUAUUCCCUGCAAAAAUUACAAGAAAGCUUUCCCAGAAAGGUUCAGGCAAUAUUGAAGAACAAAGUGAUCUUACCAAAUAUUGACUUUCAAGCUGGUUAGAAUUUUACAAACACAAUUGUAACCUUAUACGUAUACUGCAUUUCCAAUUAUGUUGGGACUUAUUUAAAUACAUUUCUACACCUAUUUGUCAUUUCCCCAGCACAAUAUAGAGAAGUUAUGGGUGGCUCAAGACUUUUGCACAGCACUGUAAUACAUUUACCCUUGCUGAAACACAUUCAAAUGAAAUGAAAAAUGAGUAGCCAAUUUUGUUUUGCCUUUGUUUGGGAACACUGUUGUCCAUCUUACCCUAACCCUAACCCGACCUAAAUUUUGCACUGGAGGUAGAGCAGGUCUUCUACUAAUCACAGGUUAUACAUCCUUGAGUAAGAUACUAACCUUGAGUUGCUCUUGUAUGCAUCAAUCGGAGUAUGACAUUGUGUGAAUGUUAGAUAGAAAGCACUUUUUAAGUUUUUUAGGUGCACAUGUAACUGUUCAUUUACUUUUGUGUGUGUCCAGAGGAAGAUGGCCAGCCUAGAAGAGCAAACACUCAGGAAGAAACUGAAAAACGCAGUGAGCCAAUAUCAUGAUCCUCCCGUGCUGCUCCAUAUCGGUUUCCAAGGUGACUACAGCAUGACCCAUGGGCAGUGGUUUUCUAGUUUGUGUUGUUCCUACUUGCUCCUGUCCAAAUCAUCUGAAGAGUUAAGACACCCAUACCCAUCCCUGAAAGAGGAAUCAGACUGUUCCCUGCCACUGGGCAAAAACUUUGUAAAUGCAUAAUCUCUGUGUUCUAACAUUUUAUUGAUAUAUCAUUUAAAGAUAAAGGAACACACGUUAUUCCUUACAGUAUUUGUUGAUGACUUCUUUUAAUCCACUGUGGAGGAAUACUAGCGUAGUGAAGCUCUUUCCAUACAAACCCUUCUCCAGUCCUGUACGACAGCAUACUAGGCAUUUCAAAUCCAAAGUGUGAACAUGCAUCUUUAUAUACACUAAACCAUGUAGGGCUUUUUUUUUUUUUUUUUUUUUUUUUUUUUUUAACCUCAUUUUCUCAAGCAGAUUGUAAUAUUUAGCUUUAUGUAACUGAAUUUAUUUGGUGUACAAAUAUUGUGGUUGUCUGUGGCUGCCUAAAUGUCAAAAUGUCACCAUGGACAAAAUAACCAUUAGGCUAUGUUUUUAAAGAAUGGUGUUCUGGAAAAUAAGGGUGUUGCAGGGUAUGGAGCAGUUUACUAGUUGUUUUUUUUUUUUGCUUUUUGUUUGUUUGGCAAGGUGAAAUUUUUCAGUUUGCGUGGUUGUCUAUUUCAGUAGUACUGUAGGCACUGUGCUGUUCGAACAUUAACCCAGGGUGACCAAGCCAGGGAAAACAUCAGCAUCUUAUUAGGCUUAACUGGUACACAAAGUCCUUCACAUACAUUAUUGUCUAACCCAGUCUGAAUGCAAAUUUGUGGCUUUUAGGCUAUGGGCAUUUAAAGGUAAAAUGACAGGAAUGACUAAAUUUGACUAAAAUCUUCACAGUCACCCCUCCCCAUUGAGUUUGGGCUUUGAUUUUGGCAUUUGUCGUUGUUGCCAUCUUGUUUUAUUUUAUUUUUAAUAUAUGAUCGAAACCCAACAGUGGAGAUGGGAAGUUAUCAGCUAAUACUACCUAGUUUAGUUGGCGAGGUUCAUCCAUUAAUGACUUCAAUGUCAAUUGGGAUAGCAAUUGUUGCUAGUGAAAAUAACAAGAUGUACUCAAAGGAAAAAGUGAACACUGAACAAGACAUUUUUGUAAAACUUGUAAUUUGUGUAUAGCAGCAAAUCACUGACUGCCUGGAAGGUAGGACCAACAACCAAUAUGUUGAAAUAUUGGGAAGUUGAUGAGGGUUCUCAUCUUGUUCACGGCUUCACUUUGGUAGCUUGAACCCGACGCACAUUCCACCCUUAUCGUGUGAAGCCUGUUAUUGGUAGGUGACAGAGGAAUCAGGUCCUAAUUAGGUGCCAGGUUUCCAAAAAUCUUCAUGCAAGAUCAUUUUUUGUCUUUAUUUCCUGAAAGAAAGCAUAUUUACAAGUGAUGGUUCUACAAACAAUGAGAUGGUUGUGAUUUCUGUCGUGAUGGGUGGGUGGGUUUGCGAAAUGUAGUGGGUGAACAAAAUGACAACAGAAAAAAUGUUUAUGGGAUUUUCAUCUUCAUCUUUCUACCGUUUUUAUUUGCACAUGUAGCUGUGAACCUAGUAUGGAUUAAUAAUUGUAAUGUUGGGAAGAACAAAAGAAAUCAAACAAUAUGUAACUGCUUAAAUUUAACAAAUGGGUCUUAAAAAAGUAUUGCAACCAGUUUGAUGACCUGGUGAUACCUGUUCUCUCAUCAUUGCAUGAUAAAGUAAUCAGAUAAAAUAUUCAGAUGUGAUUCAAGGAUUGAACUUAUAUUUGGCACCUUGUCCCCUGAAUCCUUAAUAUGAGGUCCAGAGAUCUUGAUGCACAUGAAGGAGGCCAUAAUUUGGCUUAAAAACCAACUUAAAUCUAUCAGAGAGCAAGCAAGAACUUUAGCAGUGACCAUAUCAGAGAUGUGGUACAUUCCUAAAAAGCAGGAAUGCACUGGCCACAGAAGACAACUAAAGUGGAUGCUUGUUGUACUCUUUCUUUGGUUCAGAAAAACACAACAUCUAGCCAUCUGCCUAUGAUUGUCAUGGUCUACAAUCAAGACAUUCCUUCACGAAUGUGAAUACAGGUUUACAACAAGGUCCAAAUACUGGUUACACUCAAGAGCAGGGAGUUAAAAAUUGAAAAAGCCAGAAAACCUCUUACGGAGCCAAGAGGUCUUCUCUGGGGAAAAAAAAACAAUCCUUUCCUUUGGACAGAUGAAAUCAA